UACGUAGGGUGCGAGCGUUAAUCGGAAUUAUUGGGCGUAAAGCGUGCGCAGGCGGUUUUGUAAGCCAGAUGUGAAAGCCCCGGGCUUAACCUGGGAAUGGCAUUUGGGACUGCAAGGCUUGAGUGCGGCAGAGGAGACUGGAAUUCCUGGUGUAGCAGUGAAAUGCGUAGAUAUCAGGAGGAAUACCGAUGGCGAAGGCAGGUCUCUGGGCUGACACUGACGCUCAUGCACGAAAGCGUGGGGAGCAAACAGG
rnacentral:rRNA from 1 species